GAUGAACGCUGGCGGCGUGUCUAAUACAUGCAAGUCGAGCGAACGGACGAGAAGCUUGCUUCUCUGAUGUUAGCGGCGGACGGGUGAGUAACACGUGGAUAACCUACCUAUAAGACUGGGAUAACUUCGGGAAACCGGAGCUAAUACCGGAUAAUAUUUUGAACCGCAUGGUUCAAAAGUGAAAGACGGUCUUGCUGUCACUUAUAGAUGGAUCCGCGCUGCAUUAGCUAGUUGGUAAGGUAACGGCUUACCAAGGCAACGAUGCAUAGCCGACCUGAGAGGGUGAUCGGCCACACUGGAACUGAGACACGGUCCAGACUCCUACGGGAGGCAGCAGUAGGGAAUCUUCCGCAAUGGGCGAAAGCCUGACGGAGCAACGCCGCGUGAGUGAUGAAGGUCUUCGGAUCGUAAAACUCUGUUAUUAGGGAAGAACAUAUGUGUAAGUACCUGUGCACAUCUUGACGGUACCUAAUCAGAAAGCCACGGCUAACUACGUG
rnacentral:rRNA from 1 species